GCCAUGCAGGCUUGACGGACCGCCACGUAAGCCAGGGUAUAAUUGGUUAUCUACUGCCAUUGUUGAGUGUUGUGGAGAAUAUGACCUGGGUUCUCUUGGAGCUUUUCCAUAAAUAUAAUGGAAAAGGGAGAUAACUGUUAGACUUGUGCGUCAGACACAAACUUGUCUUAGACACAAAACAAUGUGAAGUGCGAUGGAAGCAAGAUACAUGUUCAUUAUGGCAUAUAAAGACCUCAAACAAGAUAUUCCAUGUCUUCCUCCAAGAAUAUGCAUCAUUCUAUAAUUCGCACCACUCUUCUCGCCAGGAUUUGUGAUAGUUUUGCCACGCAAAGUUAAAAGUUCUCCUGUUGUUAAUGAGAUGCAAAUAUGAGCCUUGCCGAAGACCACACCACCCACACUCCAUUCAAGUGUCCAGGCCUCAUCGAGUCUCCAUAUCUGGUAAACAUGUAGACGAUCGGCCGCAACGAGAGCAACUUUCAACAAAGCCUGCGAAGUGGUGCAGGAAAAAACUUCCUACACUAACAUGGAACAUCCCACCCCUGGGAGUCUCUUUCUCCAAGAAGUUUUCCUGUUGAGCCACCACUUUAUGGUGGGAAGUAAUGAAAGAGAGCCGAGGAAAAAACUUCCGUAGGGUACAGAGGGGUUUACAGACACUUUAGACUUGACUUGAGUUAGAACGGUUUAUGACGAUAUUGGUACACCAAAACAAGAUAGCUGACACCUGUGGAUGAUAACUUUUCCUUACUGAUGGCUUUCUUUCUCGAUGUCCAUUUAUCUAACAUUCUUGAAUGAAACUUGUGCUCUUCUAAAGAUAUGAGGAAUCAGCAGUGAAAUUAAUUGGUCAUUUUAUAACAGUAACGGCGUCAAGUUUCUGCCGUGAAAAACGGGGGAAGGAAGAAAGUUGUGAUAUAGUACCAGAGUUUGGAAUUUGUGUAAUAAAUAUCGUCCCUAAUAAAUGCCUUUCAUUUAACGGAAACAAAAGACGCAGAUCAUUGGGGGCAUAAGGUCUGCAAUGUACUUGCUGCAGUUUUCCUCGAGAGA